rfam:Piloderma croceum F 1598 unplaced genomic scaffold scaffold_00019, whole genome shotgun sequence.
GGCGGACUGGCGCAAUGGUAGCUCGCUAGUCUCCGAAGCUAGAGGUUCUGGGUUCGAGUCCCAGGUUCGUCG